GAUGAACGCUGGCGGCGUGCUUAACACAUGCAAGUCGAACGGUGAAGCAGAGCUUGCUCUGUGGAUCAGUGGCGAACGGGUGAGUAACACGUGAGCAACCUGCCCCUGACUCUGGGAUAAGCGCUGGAAACGGCGUCUAAUACUGGACGUGAGCUACGACCGCCUGGUCAGCUGUUGGAAAGAUUUUUCGGUCUGUGAUAGUCUCACGGCCUAUCAGCUUGUUGGUGAGGUAAUGGCUGACCAAGGCGUCGACGGGUAGCCGACCUGAGAGGGUGACCGGGCACAAGGGGACUAAGAGACGGACCAGAAGCCUACGGGAGGCAGCAGGGGAGAGUAUUGCAGAAUGGGCGAGAGUCAGAGGCAGAAGCGCCGGGAGAGGGAUGACGGCCUUCGGGUUGUAAACAUAUGUGAGCAGAGAAGAAGAGAAAGUGACGGUACCUGAAGAAGAAGCGCCGGCUAACUACGUG
rnacentral:rRNA from 1 species